UACGUAGGUGGCAAGCGUUAUCCGGAUUUAUUGGGUGUAAAGGGCGUGUAGGCGGGAAUGCAAGUCAGAUGUGAAAACUCAGGGCUCAACCCUGAGCCUGCAUUUGAAACUGUGUUUCUUGAGUGCUGGAGAGGCAAUCGGAAUUCCGUGUGUAGCGGUGAAAUGCGUAGAUAUACGGAGGAACACCAGUGGCGAAGGCGGAUUGCUGGACAGUAACUGACGCUGAGGCGCGAAAGCGUGGGGAGCAAACA
rnacentral:rRNA from 1 species